rnacentral:lncRNA from 1 species
CGUUCGCGUAGUGGUGAUGAUGAUGAUAGCGUCACGAAUGACUCGCGCACUGGCUGCACUGGCGCCCUGGCGCCUCGCUGUUUUCAACGGUUCUCAGUUUGAAUUUCGUAUGUGGUUGCUGGUUGCUCCGUAGCUUUUGUGCAUGCUAGCGGCAUAACGCCGACCCAGAUAAGUACAAGUGCAUGAUUUGUGACAUGUGCUUCAAGAAAAUCUACAACCUAAAGAGGCACCUAAAGGAGGUUCACGGGGACGCUGACACGACUCACGAGCUGGAUCACACUGUCCGCUGCCGCCUUGCAUGCGAUCUGUGUCCAACAGCUUGCUGCGCCACUUUGAAGCGAAACACGGGAUCGUCGCGAGGCGUGACAAGUUAAAGUUCAAUUUGUUGAAAGAAUUCAGUGACUGGGGGGAGGCUAGGGAUGGCAGAGAGCAUGUUCGCUUCAUUCUCCACGACGGACCCAAGGGACGAGAUGAGGGUGUCCUGAAAAGGUACCUGGACCUCGAGACCGGUGACCUAGGAGAUGUCAGCAAGGCUACAGGGUGAUUUGCUCACCGCGAGGCUGUGCAAUUUAGUGGCAUGGAACUAGUGCCUCAUUUCGGAGAUCUCCAUGGCGAGUGAACAGUGGUGGGGCAAGAAGUUUAUUGGAAGGUUUUGCCAUGCCAUGGUGAUCAACAUUCAUGACAGGUUCAUCUGCCAAACUAGCUACGCAAUAGAGGCAAGCCUGCUAAGUCACUGGGACAUGGAUGCAUUAGUCGUCAGUGUGUGGCGCAGAGGACUUCUAGGGAUAAGUCCAGGAGACGAACGUGCAAUAUUUAUAUUCUGUCUAUAUUUUGGUGAACCAAUGUUACUGUUGACAUUUAAGUAAAGGACAUUUCACUUGUGCGGCAAAAGAUAUGUCAGGUGUGUAAUGGGGUCCCACAAAAAAUACCUAUGCUUCGUCUUGAGCUAUGUUCAUAGAGACAUGGCAAGGGGGGGCCAGAAGACUGAUGAAAGUUGUGCCAGUGAUGGUCGCAGUUUGGGAGAUGAUGCGGAUGGCUAUGUGAUGGGGUGCUGUUACCUUUGAUGGACAACUGUUUCACUGAGUCAAACUGUGGCAGUGUUUCUGCUCUCUUGAGAGGCAGCAUGGUAACGCAUAAACACAGUGACAGAUUUUACUUUAAACUCAAAAUGGGGCACAGCAAUAAAACACUUGCUUGCCUCAUCGAGGCACGUCUUCAAAUGUAAACUAAUAUGUUGUCUUUUCAGUACCACCUUUUCUUUUCUUUUUUUUUCAUACUUUUUUUUAUGUCUAGGCAAAAGAAAAGAAUCAUGUUAAGGUCCGUUCACACUCUUGCAACCGAGUACGACCGAAAGAGACGAGACCGGUUUGUAAGCCUUUUCGGACCUCUUAGGACCGGACGCGCUGCAGUGGAGCUGGUCCUAAGACGAGACUUGUUAAAACCUCUUAAAAUUUCUUGGGACGAGAGAACACGCUUUGUAAUUUUCCAGGAAAAAACCGACCCGUGGAAUACACCUUUGACGAAAAGUUUCGAUUGCUACGUGCAGGCGUCGAUUUUUACAGUCCAUUUUAGAUCGAGCCUGGCGGCUUAGACCACCCUUUAUUUGUAAAAGGUUCAUAAAAUUGUUCACUGCAAACGCAUAUCACCAAUCUUAAUAAUUAAUUAGUCAUAUUUUGACCAGUGGAAAAACCACAUCUUUAUUUUCACUCGAUUUGGGUAUGUUUACGAUAAAUAUUGAGCGAGUAAAGUACAAUUAAAAAAUUGGGUUUGUAGAACAAGUAAUAAAUAACGGGCCAAUUGGUUACGGACGCUAGCAAUUGACUCCGUAAGUGUGACGUCAUGAGUCCAAACAAACCGUUGCUAGGGUCGAUGUUGACAAAUACAUGUGGCUAGGUUUCGCUACGAAAACCCGACUGUUCAAAAAUCAGGAGUAGGAUUUAAACUUCUAAAAUUCACAGAUAUAGAAAACUUGAAUGUCUUGUAUGUUUAGACAGAAGUGUGCAAAUAAUCGCUUGUUUCUGGAAUAUUUUCAACUGCAACUUCCGGUCCUCAAGAUGCCUGCAGCGGACUACGAAUACAAGAAGUAUGCCGUCUGCCACAAACUGGCGCCAUCGUUUGAAUCGUGUGAAUAAAGACUAUAUUCUGAUAUUGUA